rnacentral:Y_RNA from 1 species
GGGUCUGAGUGCAGUGGUGUUUACAACUUACUGAACACAACCAGUUACUGAUUUCUUUGUUCCUUCUCCAUUCCCACUGUUUCACUUGACUAGCCUUGA